rnacentral:rRNA from 1 species
UGCCAGCAGCCGCGGUAAUACGGAGGGGGUUAGCGUUGUUCGGAAUUACUGGGCGUAAAGCGCGCGUAGGCGGACACUUAAGUCAGGGGUGAAAUCCCGGGGCUCAACCCCGGAACUGCCUUUGAUACUGGGUGUCUUGAGUUCGAGAGAGGUGAGUGGAAUUCCGAGUGUAGAGGUGAAAUUCGUAGAUAUUCGGAGGAACACCAGUGGCGAAGGCGGCUCACUGGCUCGAUACUGACGCUGAGGCGCGAAGGCGUGGGUAGCGAACGGGAUUAGAUA